GAUGAACGCUGGCGGCGUGCCUAAUACAUGCAAGUCGAGCGAACAGACGAGGAGCUUGCUCCUCUGACGUUAGCGGCGGACGGGUGAGUAACGCGUGGAUAACCUACCUAUAAGACUGGGAUAACUUCGGGAAGCCGGAGCUAAUACCGGAUAAUAUAUUGAACCGCAUGGUUCAAUAGUGAAAGACGGUUUUGCUGUCACUUAUAGAUGGAUCCGCGCCGCAUUAGCUAGUUGGUAAGGUAACGGCUUACCAAGGCGACGAUGCGUAGCCGACCUGAGAGGGUGAUCGGCCACACUGGAACUGAGACACGGUCCAGACUCCUACGGGAGGCAGCAGUAGGGAAUCUUCCGCGAUGGGCGAAAGCCUGACGGAGCAACGCCGCGUGAGUGAUGAAGGUCUUCGGAUCGUAAAACUCUGUUAUUAGGGAAGAACAAAUGUGUAAGUAACUAUGCACGUCUUGACGGUACCUAAUCAGAAAGCCACGGCUAACUACG
rnacentral:rRNA from 1 species